rnacentral:rRNA from 1 species
GUCGUAACAAAGUAGAUGUAAGGGAACUUGCAUCUAGAUGA